CAGUCGCCACGGUAAUACAGAGGAUGCAAGCGUUAUCCGGAAUGAUUGGGCGUAAAGCGUGCGCAGGCGGUUUGUUAAGACAGAUGUGAAAUCCCCGGGCUCAACCUGGGAACUGCAUUUGUGACUGGCAAGCUAGAGUAUGGCAGAGGGGGGUGGAAUUCCGCGUGUAGCAGUGAAAUGCGUAGAUAUGCGGAGGAACACCGAUGGCGAAGGCAGCCCCCUGGUCCUUUACUGACGCUGAGGAGCGAAAGCGUGGGGAGCGAACAGGAUUAGAUACCCGCGUAGUCCCUGUCUCUUAUAC
rnacentral:rRNA from 1 species